CUCUGACAGAGAAACCAAACAUCGUUUAAGAGGAGCUGUCCCUGCUGGACUCGUCCAACACCAUCUUUAAGCUGCUGGGGCCGGUUCUGGUCCGACAGGACAUGGACGACGCCCGAGUCACCGUCAGCAAGAGGCUGCAGUACAUCACCGCUGA